GUGCCAGCAGCCGCGGUAAUACAGAGGGUGCGAGCGUUAUUCGGAUUUACUGGGCGUAAAGCGUGCGUAGGCGGCUGAUUAAGUCGGAUGUGAAAUCCCUGAGCUUAACUUAGGAAUUGCAUUCGAUACUGGUCAGCUAGAGUAUGGGAGAGGAUGGUAGAAUUCCAGGUGUAGCGGUGAAAUGCGUAGAGAUCUGGAGGAAUACCGAUGGCGAAGGCAGCCAUCUGGCCUAAUACUGACGCUGAGGUACGAAAGCAUGGGGAGCAAACAGGAUUAGAUACCCUGGUAGUCC
rnacentral:rRNA from 1 species